AGGACGAACGCUGGCGGCGUGCUUAACACAUGCAAGUCGAGCGAGGCCCUUCCUUCGGGAAGGUGCCCUAGCGGCGAACGGGUGAGUAACACGUGGGCAACCUGCCCCUAGCACUGGGAUAACUCCGGGAAACCGGGGCUAAUACCGGAUAUGACCUUUGAGGGCAUCCUCUUUGGUGUAAAGGAUUCUGGCUAGGGAUGGGCCCGCGGCCUAUCAGCUUGUUGGUGGGGUAAUGGCCUACCAAGGCGACGACGGGUAGCCGGCCUGAGAGGGCGACCGGCCACACUGGGACUGAGACACGGCCCAGACUCCUACGGGAGGCAGCAGUGGGGAAUAUUGCACAAUGGGCGAAAGCCUGAUGCAGCGACGCCGCGUGAGGGAUGACGGCCUUCGGGUUGUAAACCGUCUUUCAGCAGGGACGAAGCGAAAGUGACGGUACCUGCAGAGAAGCACCGGCCAACUACGUGCCAGCAGCCGC
rnacentral:rRNA from 1 species